rnacentral:rRNA from 1 species
UACAGAGGUCUCAAGCGUCGUUCGGAUUCAUUGGGCGUAAAGGGUGCGUAGGUGGCGCUGUAAGUCGGGUGUGAAAUUUCGAGGCUUAACCUCGAAACUGCAUUCGAUACUGCGGUGCUUGAGGACUGGAGAGGAGACUGGAAUUCAUGGUGUAGCAGCGAAAUGCGUAGAGAUCAUGAGGAAGACCAGUGGCGAAGGCGGGUCUCUGGACAGUUCCUGACACUGAGGCACGAAGGCCAGGGGAGCAAACGGG